rnacentral:tRNA from 1 species
AAGUCCUUAUCUCAACGGUAGAGAGCUGUGUUUACACCACAAAAGUUGAAGGUUCAAUUCCUUUAGGGCUUA